rnacentral:lncRNA from 1 species
ACACAUGUGACACUUAUGAUGUGUUUAUGAAGAUAAGAGGAAAAAUAAUUGAUCAAUACGAAAAUGCUAAUUAUGUCAUGUUAAUGCUUUUACAGAAUUUAUACUUGACUACUCCUUAUCCUAGUGGUUUUAUCGAAACAGAGAAGCAAUUUUUAAAAAUCCUCGAAAGUAAUGAAAAAAAGAAACAGCUGUUAAAACAUGGUAUAAAUGGGAUAAGUAGCAGGGACAGAAAAAGUAAUGAUAGUGUUAAUACUUUAAAUAAAUUAUACAAACCUCCCGGUUUUAUCAUAUACGAAAAAAAAAUAAGUGAAAAUAUGUAUCUACAAAUAAGAAAGUGUGGUUUUUCGUCUGAAUAUUUUAAAAAAGAUAAUGAUAGAAACGAAGAGGAGAUGAAUGAAAGUGAUAGAAUUUCAUUAGAGGAAACAGAAGAAUCGGAAGAAGAGGGAGUAGAAGACGAAAAUGGAGAUGCAAGUGGAGAUGGGGACGAAGAUAUCCCAAGUAAUAUAAUUUGUAAUAAAAUUAAAAAUAUGAAUAAAACAAAAAAUAAGAAGGGUUUAAUAAAAAAGGAGGUUCGUACAAAGGACAAGAACAUAAAGAAUCGUUUUAAAAAGAGGGUUGGUCACAUUAUGGAUAACAACUGUGUUACUGGUAAUAUUAGUAGCAGUACUAGUGAUAGUACUUUUGCCUUUCAUACUAGUGCAAGUAUUUCAUAUGAAUGUGAUAAAAAAAGACGCUAUAAAAAAGGUAUUAAUAAGGGCAUAGAUAAGGCCAUUAAUAAGAGUAGUGGUAUUUGUAAAGAGAAAAUAACAAAGGAAAUUGAAACAAAAGGAACAAAUAAAAAAAAAGAAAGUCUAGGAAUAGUAAAAAAAGUUGAAACUAGAGGAAGAAAGAAAAAAAGCGAAACUAUAGGAACUAUAGAAACAACAAAAAAAAUAGAAUCUAAAAGAGGGAGAAAAAAAUUAAAAAAAACAGAAACUAUAAAAGGAAGAAGAGGAAGAAGACCAAAAAAAAAUGAAAACACUGUAGUGCUAAACAUCGAUGAAGAUAUGGUGGAAGAAAAAGGAAAAACAAAAACAAAUGGGAGAGUUUUAAGAGGAUAUAAUAAUAGUAGUAAUAGUGAUAAUACAGAAAGGAAGGUAGCACAAAAAAUAAAGACAAACUUGAAAAAGGAGAAAGUUGAAAAUAAUAACAACAACAACAGUAACACUAACAGUAUCAACAACAGUAACAGUAUCAACAACAGUAACAAUAUCAACAACAGUAACAAUAUCAA